rnacentral:lncRNA from 1 species
CACCUCUAAUGGCUGUCACGAUCUUAUGGAGCGCGACAACCGACCACUAGGGCAUUCGUCUUGCAAGCAAUCGAAGAACAAGCAAGAACAAGUAAAACAAGUACUGAAUUACAAGAUGUUAAUAAAGAUUUCAAACUUAAUCUCCAAUGAAGUGAGGUUCUGAAAACAAGAAGACUGGCGGUUGGAUCAGCACAUGAAUUUUACAAGCAAGUAGCGAAGGCUAAACUUGAACUAAUCAAAACUCAAACCCCAAUGUAGGUGGUGGCAACUGAUUAUAUAGCCUAAGGGACGUGUAAAGACCCCUCUUCAUGUCCAUAAGGUGCCCUAACACGUUACAAGGACCAACAGCCUAAAAGACAAUGACAAAGCACCAUGACAGAUUCUGGAUGUCAACUUGUUUCAACCAUUCCCGUUACAUCCAAUAGAAUUUGGGUCUCAAACCAAAGCUAUUGGUUAGCUUAUGAAAUUAUCUUUCUAUCCAUAGUGGAUCAUCGAAAACAGAGUCCGGAUCUGUCCUGGUUGUCCGUUUUACUAUAGAUUGCUCUUGGAGCCCGAGAUGGACUCAAACUUGAUAUGGAUUCGGCCUCUGACUUGGCUUGAAUGAACUUGCUGACCUUCUAAGGUGGUGGCCAAGGAGGAGAACGUCCAAAGGAUCCCUUUAUGGGUUAUCAUUCUCCUUAGGGUGUGCUUCCACUUGAGCUAGGGUCCCAGGGAUGAAAAGCAUGCCCAUGAUAAUGAUGUAGCUCUUGGCAGAAACAAUGACAAAAUAACAUGAUGAUUUGGUGGACUCGUCGGUGUGAUAUUGAGAUGGGACUAGAUUCAUUUGAAAGCUUAUCAAACAAGCUUUUUAUCUAGUGCUCAUUGACCUUGAUCUCACUCUAGAUGGAUAAGUUAUGGCCUUUCCAAUAAAGUACUAUCGGACCACUAGCGAACUAAAAAUUCAGCUUUGAUGACCUUGUACUUUGAGACACAUUCGUACCUACAUGCAAAUAAUGACAUGUAAAUGUGGAACAACUACAAAAAAUACCUUUAUACAUGACGUUUAGAUAUGACGUUAUAAGAAAUUGUCAUAAAAAGCUUUAUUUUAUGACGUUUUGUGUCUCAGCUGAUAAAUUCAUGAGAAAAAAAAAGAAAAGAAAAGGCCCACUCACCUUAUUCCCCCUCCCGGCACUCCCUGAGACCCACCUCCUCCCAACACAUCCGCACACCACUAGAAGCCGCCGUCGCCCUCUGCGUCCACCAGGAGAUCUGGGGCCGGUGAAGCCCAGGAGCACCAGCACCCCUCCCAUGGCUGCCAUCUGCCCUAGGUUCGCCUCUCCCCCUCCCCCUCCCUCUCCCCCUCCUCUUCACCUUCCCUAAUUUGCCGCACCCGCUCCAGAGUUGGUUCCGACCCCAUCGUGCCCACGCAACUUCAGCCCCGGCACUGGCUCCACCCCAGCGAUGGAGCCCCGUCACACAUGCUCCGGCUGCGAUCUAGCACGUUGACGUUUGGAUCUGCAGCGGUGAGCACUCAUAACACCAGGUAUGUCCCCUUCUCUUCCCUUCCUUUUGUGUAAAACUGAGCAUUGGAACCCUAAUUUAAGCUAUAUGGCUUCUGGAGAUCUAAACCCAAGUGUAUGCUUGUUUGAUAUGUGGAUUAAUAGAAACUGUGGAUUUUAGACAAAGUAAGAUAAUGUAUGACUGCUCAGGGACACCAAUUCGUUUGUGUUUCAAUGUAUCUGUAUUGUAAUGGAGGGAGUUUGUAAAUUAAGGCAUCUAUGUGAAAAACUCAGACUUGCAGGUGGAAUGCAUGAAUUUUAUAUGUGUACCAUUGGUAGUGCUGGGGCACAUUAGUGAAGGGGCUAAUGGUUUCUUAAAUUGUUCUAUCAUAUAGUGACAGUUCACCUGAUUCAUAGCAAAGAAUAGACAUGUAGUGGUUAAGUGAACAAAAAUUGCACAAACUGGAAAUUACAAUGUAGAACUUUCAUAGUCACUAAAUAUUCAGAAACCCC